UUGAUUCUUCUACAAAUGACGUUGAUCUGUUCAUCUCCCCAGACAACCAAACCAUUGCUAUGGUGAUAAAAUCAACUGAAUUUUAAUGUGUCAUUUGUAUCUUUGGUGAAAGGGGGUGACCAGGAAGUGGCGACGGCGAGAUCAUUUUUGUGCGAACAGAAAGACAAACGUUAAGAAAUCAGACCUUCUCAGUCCUGAGCUCCUCUGAAGGUGUUCCUGUUGAAUUCACCGACUCCACACAACACUCAGCAGAAGUCCACAGAUGAAGCCGAUGUUUCUGAACCAGCCAAGAAAUUCAACGUCCGACUGGAAGCUUCUACAAGUGUGACUUGUGAGAACCUCAGAGUUUCACACAUGACUCGGUGGACGACACAAGAGUCGGUUCUGGUGGAUCCACAUCUCCACAAAGAAGAGACCAGCUCCUCUGAUGCUUUGGUCUGCACAGACCCACAACAUAAUUAAAUAUUAUGAACCACAAAUCCUUAAACAGAAA